GACAGAGGGUGCAAACGUUGUUCGGAAUUACUGGGCGUAAAGCGCGUGUAGGCGGCAAGCCAAGUCGGGUGUGAAAGCCCUGGGCUCAACCCAGGAAGUGCAUUCGAUACUGGCAAGCUAGAGUCCCGGAGAGGAUGGUGGAACUCUCGGUGUAGAGGUGAAAUUCGUAGAUAUCGAGAAGAACACCGGUGGCGAAGGCGGCCAUCUGGACGGUGACUGACGCUGAGACGCGAAAGCGUGGGGAGCAAACGGG
rnacentral:rRNA from 1 species